rnacentral:rRNA from 1 species
UACGUAGGGUACAAGCGUUAAUCGGAAUUACUGGGCGUAAAGCGUGCGCAGGCGGUUGUGUAAGACAGAUGUGAAAUCCCCGGGCUCAACCUGGGAACUGCAUUUGUGACUGCACAGCUGGAGUGCGGCAGAGGGGGAUGGAAUUCCGCGUGUAGCAGUGAAAUGCGUAGAUAUGCGGAGGAACACCGAUGGCGAAGGCAAUCCCUGGACCUGUACUGACGCUCAUGCACGAAAGCGUGGGGAGCAAACAGG